rnacentral:rRNA from 1 species
AUAUUGCACAAUGGAGGAAACUCUGAUGCAGCGACGCCGCGUGAACGAUGAAGGCCUUCGGGUUGUAAAACUCUGUCCUAGGCGCCAAUAAUGACGGUACCCUAGGAGGAAUCCCCCGCUAACUACGUGCCAGCAGCCGCGGUAAUACGUAGGGGGCAAGCGUUGUCCGGAUUUAUUGGGCGUAAAGGGUGCGUAUGCGGCCUUUUAAGUUAGAUGUGAAAGAUCACGGCUCAACCGUGGUAAGCAUUUGAAACUGGAAGGCUUGAGUUAAGGAGAGGAAAGUGGAAUUCCUAGUGUAGCGGUGAAAUGCGUAGAUAUUAGGAGGAAUACCAGUGGCGAAGGCGACUUUCUGGACUUAUACUGACGCUGAGGCACGAAAGCGUGGGGAGCAAAC